GCAGGAGAGGGCGGUGGAACUCCAUGUGUAGCGGUAAAAUGCGUAGAUAUAUGGAAGAACACCAGUGGCGAAGGCGGCCGCCUGGCCUGUUGCUGACGCUGAGGCACGAAAGCGUGGGGAGCAAAUAGGAUUAGAUACCCUAGUAGUCCACGCCGUAAACGAUGAGGACCAAGUGUUGGGGGUGAAACCUCAGUGCUGAAGUUAACGCAGUGAGUCCUCCGCCUGGGGAGUAUGCACGCAAGUGUGAAACUCAAAGGAAUUGACGGGGGCCCGCACAAGCGGUGGAGUAUGUGGUUUAAUUCGAAGCAACGCGAAGAACCUUACCAGGCCUUGACAUGGGAUGCGAAGACGCAGAGAUGCGUUGGAGGUCAACAUCCACACAGGUGGUGCAUGGUUGUCGUCAGCUCGUGUCGUGAGAUGUUGGGUCAAGUCCCGCAACGAGCGCAACCCUUGUGGCAUGUUGCUAACAGGAAAGCUGAGGACUCAUGCCAGACUGCCGGUGACAAACCGGAGGAAGGCGGGGAUGACGUCAAAUCAUCAUGCCCCUUAUGGCCUGGGCUACACACGUACUACAAUGGCGGCUACAAAGAGCGGCGAGACAGGGAUGUCGAGCGAAUCUCAUAAAAGCCGUCCCAGUUCGGAUUGGAGCCUGCAACCCGGCUCCAUGAAGUUGGAAUCGCUAGUAAUCGCGGAUCAGCAUGCCGCGGUGAAUACGUUCCCGGGCCUUGCACUCACCGCCCGUCAA
rnacentral:rRNA from 1 species